CUUUCCCCCUGUCUCUCUCCCCGUCUCUCUCUCUCUCCCCGUCUCUCUCCCCGUCUCUCCCCGUCUCUCUCUCCCCGUCUCUCUCUCCCCGUCUCUCCCGUCUCUCACUCGGACAUGUUGCUCAAACCGCUCGGAUUAACUCCACCUCGUGAGACCAGACGCCCAGGGACCAGUAAGGGCCACGCACACAGCAGUAGCAAAGGCGCACUCCGAAACCGCGGCCACGCACCCCAGUUCGAUUCCCGGCCGAGGCCAUCAAGAAGAUCGAGCGGCGGGCACCUGAGCCGGUCCUCCCUAGCCUCCGUCUUUCCGCCGAGUAUCGAUUCUGACUUCGGUCUAAUGAGACGUCUUCCGUGAUCCAGGCGGCCUCCAGCUUAACACGAGGGCGAAGAGGGGAGGAGGGGGUGCUGGUGGUUGCGGUGGUGGUUGUAGGUGGUGGUAGCUGUUGUUGUAGGUGUUGGUG